AACGCUAGCUACAGGCUUAACACAUGCAAGUCGAGGGGCAGCAUUGGAGUAGCAAUACUUCAGAUGGCGACCGGCGCACGGGUGAGCAACACGUAUCCAACCUGCCGCUUACUCGGGGAUAGCCUUUCGAAAGAAAGAUUAAUACCCGAUGGUAUAAAGAGUUCGCAUGUUCUCUUUAUUAAAGAAUUUCGGUAAAGGAUGGGGAUGCGUUCCAUUAGGUUGUUGGUGAGGUAACGGCCCACCAAGCCUUCGAUGGAUAGGGGUUCUGAGAGGAAGGUCCCCCACAUUGGAACUGAGACACGGUCCAAACUCCUACGGGAGGCAGCAGUGAGGAAUAUUGGUCAAUGGGCGGUAGCCUGAACCAGCCAAGUAGCGUGAAGGAUGAAGGCUCUAUGGGUCGUAAACUUCUUUUAUAAGGGAAUAAAGUGAGGGACGUGUCCCUUUUUGUAUGUACCUUAUGAAUAAGGAUCGGCUAACUCCGUGCCAGCAGCCGCGGUAAUACGGAGGAUCCAAGCGUUAUCCGGAUUUAUUGGGUUUAAAGGGAGCGUAGGUUGACAUAUAAGUCAGCUGUGAAAGUUUACGGCUCAACCGUGAAAUUGCAGUUGAUACUGUAUGUCUUGAGUGUACAAGAGGUGGGCGGAAUUCGUGGUGUAGCGGUGAAAUGCUUAGAUAUCACGAAGAACUCCGAUUG
rnacentral:rRNA from 1 species